rnacentral:rRNA from 1 species
GAUGAACGCUGGCGGCGUGCUUAACACAUGCAAGUCGAACGAAGAUGCCGGAGUGCUUGCACUUUGGCAGACUGAGUGGCGGACGGGUGAGUAACGCGUGGGUAACCUGCCUUAUACAGGGGGAUAACAGUUGGAACGACUGCUAAUACCGCAUAAGCGCACGGUAUCGCAUGAUACAGUGUGAAAAACUACCGGUGGUAUAAGAUGGACCCGCGUCUGAUUAGCUAGUUGGUGAGGUAACGGCUCACCAAGGCGACGAUGCGUAGCCGACCUGAGAGGGUGAUCGGCCACAUUGGGACUGAGACACGGCCCAGACUCCUACGGGAGGCAGCAGUGGGGAAUAUUGCACAAUGGGGGAAACCCUGAUGCAGCAACGCCGCGUGAGUGAUGACGGCCUUCGG